GAACAAAGGAAGGAGGAAGUAACUUGUGGAGUGCUGAGAAAGGUGAUCAGAAGAGCCAUCACUGAAGAUGACAACUGAGCAAAGACCCAAAGGAGGUGAAGAGUGAACUACGGAGGAAGCACCUUCCUGGCAGAGAACAGCAAGUGCAAAGGCCCUGGGCAGGGAGGAUGACUGGGGAUCAUUCAAGCAAGAGCAAAGAGGCCAAUGUGGAAGGAACAGAGUCAGCAAGAAGGAGUGUAAAAGGAGGUGCUCGUGACGACGACUGGGAGCAGAGCACGAGGCUGGAGAGAGCACCCCUCAAUACCGGACUCGGGUAAAAUCUUGCCUCCUUCCUGAGCCCCUCUCUCAGACCUAAUGCAAAAGCCGUAAUCCACUGGGGGAAGGGCAAGAAACCUUCCCUGUCCCCGGGACCCAGGCAAAGAUCUGCUGCUCCUGGGGGUGAGGUACCAGCAAAUAUGAUCGUCUGCUGGAUUCUGCACUGAUACAAUGCAAAAGUCAGCUUCGGGUGGGGUUGGGGGGAAACGUGGGAAAUUCUCUCUCACACGGGAGCUCACACCACACACACACACAAACACACACACAGAAGGCAGAGUCCAGGUGGCAUGGAGGGUGAAAGCACACAAUGCUAAGAAAGCCCUAUCCUGAAGUCCAGGCACACAGUACCUGCCUAAGAUGGAGUCAGACUAAGAGAACCAAGAAAGUCCCCAUCCUCUUACCAUGAGCCUGGCUCCAAGUAAAGAGCAACAGCAGUUCCCCACUGGGGCAAUGACACGGGCAGGCUACGAGUAAAAGGAUGGGAAAAGGUGUAUUAUGCAAGCGUGAUCAAAAGAAAGCUGAAGUGCCUAUCAGACAAAGUAGACUCAGAGCAAGGAAUAUUGCAGAGCCUAAGGAGAAACAGCAUAUAAUGAUAAAGAGAUCAAUGCAACAAAAAGCCAUGGUGGCCCUGACCUAAGAAAAGAGCUUCAAAAAUACAAAAAGAAAUCACAGAAAUAAAAGUCGUGAUUUAGUCCUUAUUUUAAUUCUGACUAGUUUUCCGAUACUUUUCUUCCAUCCUUAUUGGUCCAAGAUGUUUUUUUCACUUAUUAAGUUACUAUAUCAUAACAGAACUUUAAAGUGAAUAACUAAUUGCAAA
rnacentral:lncRNA from 1 species